UUUCCGUAGGUGAACCUGCGGAAGGAUCAUUGUCGAAACCUGCCCAGCAGAACGACCCGCGAACUUGUAUAAACAACCGGGGGCGGGGGGCGUUCUCGCCCCGUGCCCCCGAACGGCGGGGAGACACUCGUGCCUUCUUGCCGAACAACGAACCCCGGCACGGUCUGCGCCAAGGAACUUCAACUAAAGAGUGCCUCCGGUCGCCUCGGAAACGGCGUGCGUGCCGGGGGCGAAUCUUGUGCAAAACCAUAACGACUCUCGGCAACGGAUAUCUCGGCUCUC
rnacentral:misc_RNA from 1 species